AUUUAAUGUGAGCGCCAACUCAUUGUGGUUAAUUACUGAUGUAAGGAUUAGGUGCGAGGAAGGCAGCUCAUUGACCCAAAUUAUCUGAUUCUGGUACUUAACACUUUAAGAGGUGGGGAGAAGGGGGGAAAAAUCCUGCUUUUUCUUUUUUUUCCCCCUCUUCUCUUAAUCAGUAUUGACAGGGCCAGGACCUAUUAGCCGCAAUUGGGCCUGCACCCCCGCACCCACAUCCCAGAUUCUGGAAUUAGUUUAAUUGAUUUGCGCCUCCCGUGCCACCCCCCGUUUAUGCUAUCAAAUGGUGUGGUCCAGGCAUAUAUAUAUUUGCUUUGGCGGGCUUACUGCGCAGAUACAAAAUGGCGGACGGCUGCGCAUGACGCGCUAUCAUACUGCAUCGCACCGUGGGACACAGCUUACCAACACACACACACCGCGUUACCACCAGCUUCCCCGGACCUCCUUCCGCACCAGCACCGCUACCACCACUGCUACCACCACCCAGCUGCUCUCCAUCCUGUGCCCUGGCAGCGCUUACUCCCUCCCUGGACGCACUCACCACCUGGCCCUGGCCUGUCCAAGUGCUGCACACAACAAGUAAUAUUCAGUUCUGUUUCAUCUGCUCAUGUCUGGUGUAGAUAAUAGUGAGUCGGAUCUGAACACACACGUUGCCAAGGUUACACACCUGGCCAAAGUUAAGUUUACACUAAGAUUGAAGUCAAAAAGAAGAACAAUCAGAGAGUCAUCGUGGAGAAAAUGUCUAAAACAUUCUCAUACAGGAGACAUGAAGUUGUCAACCUCACUCCACCAAUUAAAGAUUUACAGCAGAGGUGGCCUGCUUUAUUCACUGAA